UUUCCUUUCAAACGGUUGUAAGUCUCUAUCGUGUCUGCAAUUGCUUAUACUUUUUAAGAAGAUGCAUAGGCAAGAUGUCAUUAAGUAUAGUUGGUUUCCUAUUAGCGGAUUUUGGAAUUAUAAUCUUUUUGAAGUGUUGUAGCAUAUCUUUCUCACUGAUCCACUUGCUCCUAUAAAUACAUCAGUUUGUACUUUUUUUUGAUCCUUCAUUGGUUUGUUUUUCAGGUUUAAGUGGUUGGAUCAAAACAAUCUAAGCUUCAAAUGAAGUUAUACAAAAGUAUUUUUGGUAAGGUGUUUGUAAGUGGUCGUGUUUUUGGUGGAGAUAACGUUUUCCUUACCAAUCAUUUUCAUUUUUCAUCUUCUAAAAUUGGAUUCGACUAACUUUUUUUUCUUUAAUUCUCUUUGUUAUUAUAGGUAGCUCUUGAAAUUUACCAUAAACAAGAUUCCAUUCCCAAACUCCUUCUGAUUUGAUUCCAAAAGCUCCAAUCUCAACACCAUGAAAGCAUUUAUGUUGUGGAAGCCAAGGUUUGAAGGUAAUUUCUAAACCCUAAUUUAAAAGUUUUGAAUAAAGAUUGUUGGAUGGUUUCUUGAAUUGGUGAUAAACCUUAAAACUCAUGAGAUGUUAUUGAAGCUGACAAAUUUGAGGAAUAAUUCUGCACUAAGCUGGAAAUGCUGAAUUUUUCUGAAGUUGGAAAUUUUAAGUAUUUAGAUAUCAUCUUUAAAGUUGUACAGCUUCUUUUAUAAACAUUCAAAUCAAAUCAUUUUUUAGACAAAAAUGUAAUCGGGAAUGAGAGGAAGGUGCAGCAAGUUGAUUUGACUAAUUUGGAGAUAGUAUGUAAAACCUACAACAGCUUAAAGUUGGCCACAAACUAACUUUUGGUGGUGUCAAAUUUGUUGACUUUUUGACAAAUUUGAAAAUUUUAAACAAAUUUAAUAGAAUUAUGUUAGAAUAACUUAAUAAAAUAUGAGAUGUAACUUUUAGCCAAAGUAUGACAAGUUUUGGUUGAGAAAAAUGGAAUUUUACUUAAUUUUAUAAACGACUGAAAUUGUCCGCAUGUCAUAAAAGAACAAAAACGAAAGACGUUGAUAUCUAAAUAUUUUUAUUACUUUGAAAAGAUGUUGGAACCAGAAACUUAAUAACAUGACAUGUUAGAACCUGAG
rnacentral:lncRNA from 1 species